rnacentral:tRNA from 1 species
AGGAGUAUAGUUUAUUAAAAUACUUGAUUUGCAGUCAAGAGAUAACACAAGUUUACUCUCA